rnacentral:rRNA from 1 species
ACUGCUCCUCUCUAAGUCCAUCAAUGAGUACGGUAGUACUGACAUGGCCCAUGGAGGGUGAAAGGCCCGUAAGAGAGGAGUUUUGGUGUGACAGUGUCUCUCUGGUUUGACCUUGGAGUCGGGUUGUUUGGGAAUGCAGCCCUAAGUGGGUGGUAAACUCCAUCCAAGGCUAAAUACAAGCACGAGUCCGAUAGCGAACAAGUACCGUGAGGGAAAGUUGAAAAGUACUUGAAGAGAGAGUAAACAGUGCGUGAACCGCUUAGAGGUAAACGGGUGGAGUUGAACUGUAAUCUCUGAGAAUUCAGCUGGCGAAUUUUGCUUGAGCUUGGUCAAAAUGGGCAGGGCCCCGGGGUAUGCUUAGGUGCAUGUUCUGGCCUUCGGGUUGGGAUGCGCGUUGCUCUUAUCAAGGGCUGCGCGCCUCGGGUGUCCGGCUGGCUCUGUCACCAGUGCACUUUCUCGGAGUGAUCACCACGACCGGCGUGCUGCUUGGCUGUUCUAGUUAAACCGAACGUUCAUCGUCCUUGUGGCGUUGGGCGGUCGACACGGCAGGAAACUGGGGGCUUGCUUCGGCUUGCCUUCCGGUGUUUGUCGGCUUUAACGGUUCUAUGCGGUGUGUCGGAGACGGCGGCUAGUAGUGUGUGCGUGCGUAUCUAUCUGUUGGCAUACUCUGGUUUGGUGGCUAUGUGCUUGUUCAAGCAGGCCUAGUUAUGGCCGGGGUAUGUCAGUGGGUGGUUGCGUGUGUGGCACUUUUCUGGGCCAACAGUCUGUGGUGUUGUGGUAGACUAUCCACCUGACCCGUCUUGAAACACGGACCAAGGAGAGUAACAUGUGCGCGAGUCAUUGGGCGUAACGAAACCCACAGGCGCAGUGAAAGUAAAAGUCUGGCUUGUCCAGUCUAAGGUGAGAUCCUGUCGUUGUCAUGCGUGGUAUCACCAAGCUUGGAGCGGUAGGCGCAUCACCGGCCCGUCCCAUGACGUGGUCACAGUCCUCGGAUUGUGCGCCGUGGGGGCGGAGCAUGAGCGUACAUGUUGAGACCCGAAAGAUGGUGAACUAUGCUUGCGCAGGUUGAAGCCAGAGGAAACUCUGGUGGAGGACCGCAGCGAUUCUGACGUGCAAAUCGAUCGUCAAACGUGAGUAUAGGGGCGAAAGACUAAUCGAACCAUCUAGUAGCUGGUUCCCUCCGAAGUUUCCCUCAGGAUAGCUGAACAUCG